AUCCUUGUUAGAUAUACCUCGAAUUCUAAAAUCACAAUAUUUUCUAAUUCUAUUCUAUUUUUAAUUAUUUUAUUAAAUUAAAUUUAAAUUAAUAUCUAAUUUAUAAAAAUAUUUUUAUUCUUAAUAAAUUUAUUAUUUUAAAUUAUAUUAAAAUUUAUCAUUAAUAUAAAUAUAUCUUUUUAUUCCAUUGAUUUGGUGCGGCAGAUAAAAAAAAUAUGAGCAUAUUUUUUGAUUUAGAAUUUUAUAAGAGAAAUAUAUUUUGUAUUCUACUUUGAUUAUAAUGAAAUAUAAAUAUUAUAUAUUAUAUUUUUUUGUCUCUUUCUCGGAUCUCUUUUGAUAUUUUCUCACUUGAUGAACUAGAUCAUUUUCGCUUUAAUUUUAACAAAUUGGUAUCAGAACCGGAUUAUUUGUUUGGGUGUUUAAGAUGUCGACAAAAUUUUGAGAUCAAGAAGUUUGAUUGCUCUAGAAGUUUUGCUCUAGAGCAAGUUGUCGUUCCAUGCACUAGAGAUUGCAAAAAGGUAUAAUUGAAGAAAGAGAAGAUUGACACUAAAGAGAAUCCCACAAAUUUGCUCAUUAAGUUUUUUGGCGAUCAAGUUUAAGUAUUAUGUAAACUUGUUCGCAUAUGCAAUAGCACUUCAUUUUGGAAUUUUAAGGUUUCCUAUUACAGUUAAUUUGGAAUAUUCCUAAUUUUAGUAAAUUUGUAUUUCUAAUUAUAUCAGGACUUAGUCAUUAUUAUAAAUAUACUCUUUAUUCAAAUAAAAGAAGAUAUGGGUGUAUUUUAGGAUUAGGAUUUUGCAAGAGAUGCAUAUUUUGUACACCACUUUGAUUAUAAUGAAGGUCUCGGCUUCAUCUUCGUCCAUAGAUGUAGGUCAGUGGUCGUAUUCGUCCGUGGAUGUAGGUUAGUGAUCGAACCAUGUAAAUAUUAUGUGUUUUAUUUUUCGUAUCUUUUUUUCGAAUCUCUUUUGAUAUUUUUGCAUCCGACGAACUACAUCUUUUCCGCCUUUAUUCUAACAAUCCUUACAACCUCAUCGUUACAAACUACUAAAUCAAAAUCAAAUUGAACUAUUUUGCCAUUUAUUAAAUCUUAUUGAAUUAAUUUACAUC
rnacentral:lncRNA from 1 species